AGGCUGUCACUGGCUCGGCCAGCAUUUAUUGCUGCGUUUACCCAGUGGGCAGUUAAGAAUCAACCACGUUGCUAUAGGUCUGGAGUCCCAUGCAGACCAGACCAGAUCCCAGUGAUCAGUGCCAAAGCCCCAUUGCCUGUGGAGAGGGUGAUGUUUGAUUUCCCUGUCCAGCUGCAAUUCGUGUGGUGAAGGUGCUCCCACAAUGUGGUUGGGGAUCUGCACUGGAACCCUUCUGUUUGCAGGACAAAUAUAUAUUUGAUGAAGAUGUGUUGAAAAUGUUUGCAGUUACUGAUCUGCUGAACGAAAAUGACCACUUUUAAACUGAUGAUUGGACUAGAGACCUUUGAGAAAACUUGAAAAUAUUCAUUAAGUUCUCAACAAAAGAAAUUAACUAGUUCUGCUGGUUCUAAAUCCGUGGAAAAUAUUUGAGAAUGUUGUGGUCUUAAAGGUGAAAGGGCUAAGUGAUCGGAAUACAUCACUUCAUCGGAGGCAUUCAGAGAAGAUUGACUGGGAUGAUCCUUGGUUUGAAGGGAUUCUCUUUUAAGAAAAGGCUGAAGAAGUCCGGACUCUACUCACUCGAUUUGGGAAGAAUGAGAAGUGAACUCUUUCAAACAUAUCGGCUUCCUCAGGGGUUUGACAAGGUAUCCCCGAAAACCUGCUUAUUUGGCAAUUCUUU